rnacentral:sRNA from 1 species
UGUGGGUCCUAAGCGUAGUAAUUUCUCCUCGCUAUAGAGCCCGCUCGGGGAUAGGUAUAAUUCGUAGCCUAGUUCUAUGUGUCCCGCUAUAAAACCCCCAAUUUUUUAAGGUUGACCUCGGAUCAAGUAGGGAUACCCGCUGAACUUAAGCAUAUCAAUAAGCGGAGGAAAAGAAACCAACAGGGAUUACCUUAGUAACGGCGAGUGAAGCGGUAAAUGCUCAAAUUUGAAAGCUGCCAACAGGCCGCGUUGUAAUUUGUAGAAGAUGCUUUGGGUGUCGGCCCAGUCUAAGUUCCUUGGAACAGGACGUCAUAGAGGGUGAGAAUCCCGUAUGUGAUUGGUGCCGUCCCCCGUGUAAAGCUCUUUCGACGAGUCGAGUUGUUUGGGAAUGCAGCUCAAAAUGGGUGGUAAAUUUCAUCUAAAGCUAAAUAUUGGCCAGAGACCGAUAGCGCACAAGUAGAGUGAUCGAAAGAUGAAAAGCACUUUGGAAAGAGAGUUAAACAGUACGUGAAAUUGUUGAAAGGGAAGCGCUUGCAAUCAGACUUGCAGGCGGUCGAUCAUCCGAGGUUCUCCCCGGUGCACUCGAUCGUCUUCAGGCCAGCAUCGGUUUCCGUGGUGGGAUAAAGGCUGUGAGAACGUGGCUCUUCGGAGUGUUAUAGCUCACGGUGCAAUGCCGCCUACGGGGACCGAGGACCGCGC